CGACUCUGGUCUUCUCUUCAUUACGCACAAGCCUUCGCCUUUUACUAAAGACUUCCGUGGAGAGGAACACUUACGAGUUCAACAUAUUUUUGGAAGGGCUUUGCUUCUGGCAUAGCC
rnacentral:snRNA from 1 species